GACGAACGCUGGCGGCGUGCCUAAUACAUGCAAGUCGAACGCUAAAGAGAGGAGCUUGCUCUUCUUGGAUGAGUUGCGGACGGGUGAGUAACGCGUAGGUAACCUGCCUUGUAGCGGGGGAUAACUAUUGGAAACGAUAUCUAAUACCGCAUAACAUUUGAUGACCCAUGUCAUUUAUUUGAAAGGAGCAAAUGCUCCACUACAAGGUGGACCUGCGUUGUAUUAGCUAGUAGGUGAGGUAACAGGUCACCUAGGCGAGGAUACAUAGCCGACCUGAGAGGGUGAUCGGCCAAACUGGGACUGAGACACGGCCCAGACUACUACGGGAGGCAGCCGUAGGGAAUCCUCGGCAAUGGGGGCAACCCUGAACGAGCAACGCCGCGGGAGUGAAGAAGGGUGUCGGAUCGUAAAGGUCUGGUGUAAGUCAAGAACGAGUGUGAGAGUUGAAAGUUCACACUGUGACGGUAGCUGAACAGAAAGCGACGGCUAACUACGUG
rnacentral:rRNA from 1 species